GCCUCACCUGGGAUAGCUCAGUCAGUAGAGAAUGAGACUCUUAAUCUCAGGGUUGUGGGUUCAAGCCCCACAUUAGGCA
rnacentral:tRNA from 1 species